UACGUAGGGUCCGAGCGUUGUCCGGAAUUACUGGGCGUAAAGAGCUCGUAGGUGGUUUGUCGCGUUGUUCGUGAAAACUCACAGCUUAACUGUGGGCGUGCGGGCGAUACGGGCAGACUGGAGUACUGCAGGGGAGACUGGAAUUCCUGGUGUAGCGGUGGAAUGCGCAGAUAUCAGGAGGAACACCGGUGGCGAAGGCGGGUCUCUGGGCAGUAACUGACGCUGAGGAGCGAAGCGUGGGGAGCGAACAG
rnacentral:rRNA from 1 species